rnacentral:tRNA from 1 species
AGGGGUUUAGGAUAACAAAAGACCAAGAGCCUUCAAAGCCCUAAGCAAGUAUAAAAUACUUAACCCCUG